GGCAAAGCUGGGGGUGGAGGGGGACAGUCAGUGGCCCUACCCACCUCAGCCAUUAGCCUGCAACAAUGAAAGGUGCAACUGAACAAUGGAAACAGAGCAAACAAGGUCGGGCACCAACCAAGCAGCCCUCAACAAAAUACCAACUUCCAAAUAAGAGGCUGAGCAGAAAGUUAGUGCCCCCCCAAAAAAUAUCAGAACUAUCACAGCUACUAUCACAGGCAUUAAAAGGCGAAGCCCUUCAAGGCUGCUAAAUGAUUUCUGAAUGAAACACGUGUUUGCAUACCUUGUACACCUUUUUGUAUGCCUGUUUUUGUAAUAAAAUCAUAUAUUUUCUCUUUA